rnacentral:rRNA from 1 species
AACGAACGCUGGCGGCAUGCCUAACACAUGCAAGUCGAACGAGACCUUCGGGUCUUUUGGCGCACGGGUGUGUAACGCGUGGGAACCUGCCCUUAGGUUCGGAAUAACUCCCCGAAAGGGGUGCUAAUACCGGAUAAUGUCUUCGGACCAAAGAUUUAUUGCCUUUGGUUGUGCCCGCGUUGGAUUCGCUAGUUGGUAGGGUAAAAGCCUACCAAGGCGACGAUUCAUAGCUGGUAUGUGAGGAUGAUCAGCGACACUGGGACUGAGACACGGCCGAGACUCCUACGGGAGGGAGGAGUGGGGGAUAUUGGACCAUGGGGGAAAGCCUGAUCCAGCAAUGCCGGGUAAGUGAUGAAGGCCUUAGGGUUGUAAAGCUCUUUUACCCGGGAUGAUAAUGACGGUACCGGGAGAAUAAGCUCCGGCUAACUACGUG